GACGAACGCUGGCGGCGCGCCUAACACAUGCAAGUCGAACGAGCGAGAGAGAGCUUGCUUUCUCGAGCGAGUGGCGAACGGGUGAGUAACGCGUGAGGAACCUGCCUCAAAGAGGGGGACAACAGUUGGAAACGACUGCUAAUACCGCAUAAGCCCACGACCCGGCAUCGGGUAGAGGGAAAAGGAGCAAUCCGCUUUGAGAUGGCCUCGCGUCCGAUUAGCUAGUUGGUGAGGUAACGGCCCACCAAGGCGACGAUCGGUAGCCGGACUGAGAGGUUGAACGGCCACAUUGGGACUGAGACACGGCCCAGACUCCUACGGGAGGCAGGAGUGGGGAAUAUUGCACAAUGGGGGAAACCCUGAUGCAGCGACGCCGCGUGGAGGAAGAAGGUCUUCGGAUUGUAAACUCCCGUUGUUGAGGAAGAUAAUGACGGUACUCAACAAGGAAGUGACGGCUAACUACGUG
rnacentral:rRNA from 1 species